UUUGGAGAGUUUGAUCCUGGCUCAGGACGAACGCUGGCGGCGUGCCUAAUACAUGCAAGUCGAGCGAAGUUUUCUGGUGCUUGCACUAGAAAAACUUAGCGGCGAACGGGUGAGUAACACGUAAAGAACCUGCCUCAUAGACUGGGACAACUAUUGGAAACGAUAGCUAAUACC
rnacentral:rRNA from 1 species